UCAUGCCCCUUAUGACCUGGGCUACACACGUGCUACAAUGGGAAGUACAACGAGUCGCGAAGUCGCGAGGCUAAGCUAAUCUCUUAAAGCUUCUCUCAGUUCGGAUUGUAGGCUGCAACUCGCCUACAUGAAGCCGGAAUCGCUAGUAAUCGCGGAUCAGCACGCCGCGGUGAAUACGUUCCCGGGUCUUGUAACCACACCGA
rnacentral:rRNA from 1 species